UCUGAUUUUGUAAUAGAAGCUUCAAAUAAAGUUUUAUGUGAAAGCUUCCCAUAUUAAUUCUGGCAAAUACUUGCAAAUUUUUAGUAGUUAAUAAAUUCUAUUUAUAUGCAAUAUGUACGUAGGCUAAUAAAACGUACCCAGGAAUUAAGCCUAAGCUGAUGGGCCCUAAUUUGUGACUCCUGUUACCUGUAUGGGUCUAAUUUUUUUUAUAUUUAGCAUGAUGACAAUACAGCUUAAAUUUCUUAUUUGGUGACAUGAGGUUAUCAGAAAGAGAUUUAAGGAAAACAGAGAAAUGUACUAGUUUUUACAAGCUGGCAUGUGUGCUACUCACAGUAACUCCUACACAGACAGUAGUUUGGUAUCUGGCUGUGCCUCCUUUUAUUACGAGUUGAGAGUUCCGCAGCGAAAUAGAUGACGCAUACCAAGCGCAACCCCAGGGGCCAAGCCUCUAAUCAGAAUGUGAUUAACCAUAAUACUAAAUUUACAUCUUUUUCAGCAUUUAUUAUUAUUUUGAGACGGAAUCUCGCUCUGUUGCCCAGGCUGGAGUGCAGUGGCACGAUCUCAGCUCACUGCAACCUCCACCUUGCAGGUUCAAGCGAUUCUCUGCCUCAGCCUCCCGAGUAUCUGGGAUUACAGGCACCUGCCACCACACCCAGCUAAUUUUUGUAUUUUUAGUAGAGACGGGGUUUAACCAUGUUGACCAGGCUAGUCUUAAACUCCUGACCUCGUGAUCCACCUGCCUCAGUCUCCCUAAGUGCCGGGGUUACAGGCGUGAGCCACUGUGCCCGGCUUUUCAGUAUUUAUUAUUAAAUACAUCAACUGAUUCCUCUCAGUACUGACACAGGUAUUAAUAUGAAGCCAAUUUCCUUAACUGUUUUAUUUCAAGAUCUAGUUACCUAUUCACAUGGCCUUAAGUCUUUUUUUGUUUUUCCCUAGUCUUUUUAGUAUAUGUAUGUGUGUAUAUACAUACAUAAUUUUUUUUUUUUGAGACAGAGUCUUGCUCUGUUGCCAGCCUGGAGUGUAGUGGCGCUACCUCGGCUCACUGCAACUUCUGCCUCCUGGGUUCAAGCGAUUCUCCUGCCUCAGCCUCCUGAGUAGCUAAGACUACAGGCUCCUGGCGGGGGCAGCGUCAAGAUGGCCGAGAGGGGGUAACACCGGAAUGCAGCUCCCAGCGAAUGAGACGCAGAGGGCUAGAGGACUUCACCAUACCAAAUGGUGCUAUCUUGCUGCCAACGAUUCCACGGCAGACCCUCCAGAUGGAGUCUCACUCUGUCACCCUGUCACCCAGGCUGGAGUGCAGUGGUGGGAUCUCUGCUCACUGUAACCUCCACCUCCUGGGUUCAAGUGAUUCUCCUGCCUCAGCCUCCCAAGUAGCUGUUACUCCAGGUGCCCACCACCAAAAUCGGGUGACUCAGAAGUUGUACUUGCCAUCUCUGCAUUCCCUCUCACCCAGUCCCCUACAAUCGUCCUUUCUGUCUGCACCUGGCAAAAUGGUUUCUGAAUAGUAGGCUGGCAAGAUGGGCCGCCUGCCAUCAGUGAGGUGGUAAUCAGAGACUAAACCAUCAACGUUCAUAAGCUCAUCUGAAGAGUGGACUUCAAGAAGCAGGCCCCCUGGGGCACUCAAAGAGGGCCAGACAUUUGUCCUGAAGGAGAGGGGAACUCCCAUUAUGCACAUUCAUACUAAGCUCCACAAAGCUUUCUGGGCCAAAGGAAUGAGGAAUGUCCCACACCACAUGUGGUUGUUGAGAAAUGCGCCACACAAGCUCUGUGCAUUGGUUACCUAUGCCCCUGUUGCCACUUUCAGAAAUCUACAGUCACUGUGAAUAAGAACUAAGUGCUGAUCAUCAAAUAAGUUAUACAAUUUCAAAAAAAAAAAAAAAAAAGAAAGAAAGAAAGAGAAAGAAAAAGUAAUGAUCCUAAGGGAAUGACGUGUCAAUGUGAUCACUCACUUUGGUGAAUGCCAGCUGUUUCCUCCCACCCCUUCCUGGAACCAGUAUCAAGAACUGUGAUUGUUUUGAGGUUCUGCCUUUCCUACAAGUUAAUGAGUUUGACUGUUAUAGUUGUGUGGCUAAUGGCAGAAGACGAAACUUCAGGGUGAGAGACAAAAGACCGUAUUACUCAUUGCACAGUAAAUAGUGUAAGCAUCAUUAUACUUGUGCUAGUUCCCUUGUCCCCAAGUCCCAGAGGAUAAUCUGCAGGGUCCAGAUAGAUGCUACACAGAUAGUGGGUUUGUGUUCAACUGAGCAAUAGUGAGCAUGAGGACCCCAUCACUUUGUAGCAAGCAGUGAAUGAGAAAAACACUUUCACUUAGAUUGAGACGCAAUUCUUUCAUCUUCCCUUGAUCAAAAUUCACCUUAUUCCUAUAAGAGGCUGCCCUAAACUGUCUUCUUAGGUUCUUCACUCUUCAAAGUUGUUCACUGAAAUACACCCCUCAGAAAGGAUCUGGGUAGGCUGGGCCUGGUGGCUCAUGCCUGUAAUCCCAGCACUUUGGGAGGCUGAGGUAGGCAGAUUGCCUGAGGUCAGGAGUUUGAGACCAGCCUGGCCAACAAGGUGAAACCCCGUUUCUACUAAAAAUACAAAAAUUAGCUGGGCAUGAUAGCACAUGCCUGUAAUUCCAGCUACUUAGGAGGCUGAGGCAGGAGAAUCACUUGAACCCAGAAGGCAGAGGUUGCAAUGAGCUGAGAUUGCGUCACUACACUGCAGCCUUUGGCGACAGAGCAAGCUAGACUCUGCCUCAAAAUUAAAAAAAAAAAAAAAAAAAGAAAGGAUCUGGGUAAAGAAAAUUUAGGACCUUUCUGUGUUCUUGACUAGAUAGAUCCUUUGCACUUAGGAAGUGAGGCUUGUUGGGCCCUUUCCAUCCUGUUAGUUACUGAGUCUGAGUUGACCCAGUGCCAAAUGGGAAUAUCACAAGAACUCCAGUUUCAAUUAAGUGUUCCGUAGGAAGCUAUUAGCUACUUUUCUGUUUUUAAAAAGCCAUGUUCUUAGUGACUUCCCUUUUCCCUUCUACUGACCAUCUGGGAGGGGACAGGGAGGCAGGUGUCCUGGUGGUGGCAGAGUGAUGCCCCAUUGACACUUUUCUUUUUCUUUCUUUUCUUUUUUUUUUUUCUUUUUAAGACAGAGUCUUGCUCUG